rfam:Nicotiana attenuata strain TT chromosome 10, whole genome shotgun sequence.
AUGGGAAAUCUGUGAAGCUCAGGAGGGAUAGCACCAUGGAGAGACUAUCUUCAUGAGCUUAAAACUGCGAUCCGUUGCGCUAUCCAUCCUGAGUUUCAUGGCUUCUUUCU